AAUAAGAUGCCUGAACUAAUAGGACUAUUUUGAUAGAAUAGAAUAUGUAAGUAUUUACUCUUAUUA
rnacentral:tRNA from 1 species